rnacentral:rRNA from 1 species
AGCUCCAAUAGCGUAUACUAAUGUUGUUGCAGUUAGAAAGCUCGUAGUUGGAUUUCUGGCUUCGGUGCGCCUGGCCCGAGAACCUGGUGUUCUUGUGAGCCGGUUUUGCGCAUCGGCCAUCCUUCGGGAGAGUGUCUCUGCCCUUGAUUGGGUUGGAGGCAGGAUCCUGACCGUUUACUUUGAAAAAAUUAGAGUGUUCAAAGCAGGCCUUUUGUGCUGUGAAUACAUUAGCAUGGAAUAAUAAGAUAGGACUUCGGCCCUAUUUUGUUGGUUUCUGGGUUGCUGAGGUAAUGAUUGAUAGGGAUAGUUGGGGGUGCUCGUAUUCAACGGCCAGAGGUGAAAUUCUUGGAUUCGUUGAAGACGAACUUAUGCGAAAGCAUUCACCAAGGAUGUCUUCUUU